UAGCCCUCCACGUCAGCAUCAGAGCAUGGGGCAUUUUUUUGACACAUCAGCGGUAUUGUUUCUAUGUACACUUUUCUUUUGUGAAAGUGAGUUUCGUUGGUGGACUUUACUGGGUUGGGUUCAAUAUAAUUAAGCCUCUGAAAACAAAUCAACAAAAUUAAGCCCGACUCAUACAUUCCAUCUAACCUAACGCUUCUUUUCUGCUUCUGAUUAUCGUGAGGAAACAGUCGACCCCGAGGGAGACGAUAACUGCUGCUCCACCGUUGAAGUGUGUCUCCUCAAAUUCUGGGAGGUUCAGAAUGCUAAGAAAACCGGCGAAGUUAUGGAUGUUGAAAUGCUUCUCCUUGGUGCACAAUUAAUUCCGCUUCAUCCGUCUGAAACCUAGAAGACAUGCCUAAGUUAAAGCGAGACAAAUCAGGAAGGGAAGGAGCAUAAGGAGAGUAUUGUUAAUGGAGUCACAGAGGCUGUCGAGAAAUAUAAUUAUGCUUAUGUUUUCUCUUUUGAAAACAUGAGAAAUAUCAAAUCCAAUGAGAUCAAACAACAGUUUAGACACACUGGAAGGUUCUUAUUAGGCUUGAAAAAAGUGAUAAAGGUUGGUCUUGGUGGGUCUGCUUCUGAUGAAAUAUGUCCUGCCAUCUUUACAGCCUCCAAAGUUGUGUACUAUGCUUCUUACAAUAGUUCAUUUAUAUUACUUGGUCUUUUCUCGCCAGUUGCGGUUUUACGUAUACUCUGGAAUGUUUUCUCAGCUGCUUCAUGGUGAUGUUGGACUUCUUAUUAUGGAUAUGCCAAAGGAAGAGGUUGAAAAGGUAGAAAUGAAGGAAGUUCCUCUAGAACAGUUCACCCAUGAGAUGGAACCGUUUCUAAGGAACUAGGGUAUACCAAAGCAUUGUCGCCUGAUUAAAAUGUUCCUGCUGCAUCACCACAAGAAGCUAAUGCUGUUUAUCCUACAAGUCAAGCGGGAACUUCGAGAGCUUCUUAUUCUACUGCUAAUGCUAUAAAGAACCAAAACCUUCAAACCUCUCAGCAGCAGCCAGUUAUUCUCAACGAUUUUGUCAGCAGGUUUUGAAUGCUUUGGGGCAGAUUAUCAAACUACUGUCUGAUGGUCAUGGACUUGGUCUCCUUCUGCUACGGGAUCCUUGAAGAGAAAGCGAGUUGGUGAGAAUGAAGAGAGAGGCGAAAGUGAAGGAGAGAAACUGCAAGAGAAUGAGAGUGGUGGCAAUGAAGAAGCAGAGAAGCAGAUCAUUGAGAGAGAGAGAGGAAGGCAGCGAUGAAGAAGCAGAGAAGCCGCAGGAGAAAGAGGAAGGUAACGAUGAAGAACUGCAGACGAAAGACGAAGGUGACAAUGAAGAACUGUAGAAGAAUGAGAGAGGUGACAAUUAAUAAGCAGAGAAGCUGCAUGAUCAGAAUCUAUAAGGGGUCACAAUAAACGCAUGGACAGUUCCUAUAUUAGCGUAGUUUUUUUUAUUAAUAGAACAUAUUGCAAAGGACAAAUUCAUAUUGGUAUGAUUGCUUACUUUCUUAUUGUCCUGCUAGACACUAUAGUUAGCUAUUGCCAAAAUAUAUUGUAGAGACACAUACAUAUCGGUAUGAUGCUUAAACAUUUUGGAGAUAUUUUAUCUGUUUCUUGCUGGUU